rnacentral:guide_RNA from 1 species
AAAAUUAAGUGUAAGUUAGAUAUUAGAAUAAGAUAUUAU